GCCGAGUGUGGUGGUGCAUGCCUGUAAUCCCAGCUACUCUGGAGGCUGAGGCAGGAGAAUCGCUUGAAUCCGGGAGGCGGAGGUUGCAGUGAGCUGAGAUGGUGCCACUGCGCUCCAGCCUGGGUGAUAGAGCGAGACUCUCGAAAGAAAAAAGAGAAAAGUUUACUUUUCCCAACAAAGUUGAAUAGCUUUUUUUUUUUUUUUUUUUUUUUUUUUUGGAGACGGAGUCUCACUCUGUCACCCAGGCUGGAGUGCAGUGGCACCAUCUCAGCUCACUGCAACCUCUGCCUCCCAUGUUCAAGCCAUUCCUCCUGCCUCAG
rnacentral:SRP_RNA from 2 species